AAUUCCAAGAUCUUAUUUCUUAGUAUUUCGAGUUGUUAGUGGCGUACGUAGAGUUCCCAUGGUAAUCGAUUGGAAAAGGUCCAUUUUGCUCAUUCAACUCUUGCAUUAGUCUCAUCUUGCUCCUUUAAUCAAAAAACCAGUCACUCAGACUUCUUUAACAAUUAAAAUCGUUUAUUUUUUCUCACUAAGUAGGUUUGGACGGUAAUUUUAUUCAAUGUGGAUCACACGUGGCAGUAGGCCCUUUUUGUUGCUUGAUCUAGGCGCCGUUAUCUCCAACGAGCUCCUAGAUUGCCUCCCUCAACUAUUGCGAAGAGCUUCAUGCUCAUGCCUCGCGUGGAGGGAGUUGAUGGCCGAUGCGAGUCGUCCAGAAAGUUUGAUGUGCAAAGACCUCCAUCGGGACCGGCAUCCUCACCGCCACCUCGACCACAGCCUCCAGUGUUGGUUACCACGGUGAUGAAGCCGGGACAUCUUCACCUGCACCUCCAUCGUUAGCAUCUCCACCGUUCGCGCCCUAUUUCAGCACUUACGACUGGCCUUCUACAGCUACCCCUGCAUACCAUGUAGGCCCUCCAGUGAUUAUGCAUGGACGACAGCGGCACCAUCACAGUCAUUUUACCCAAGUCAGAGGAUGAGCCUAGGUCGGACCCCCAUUCGACCUCGUGAGGGACUUUUCGGGGGCACAAUGGACUACGAUGUCCUCACGCGGUCCCAGUUGCCCAUUGCUUUACCACCGAUGCAGCAGACCCUGGAGGAGACCUCGACUCCCGUGAUCGCUACAAGGCUUACUAGGUAGGUUGUUCCACCGAACAACCUGACCUACUCUAGGGGCCACGUGAGGGCGAACCAGCGGCAGCGUCGACGGGACCAUGAUGGUGGAAACAGCCAACGACAGUGGGAGAGAAAGUAGUAGGAUUUUAUCUUUACUUUUGUAACUUAGAUGUUUGUUUCAUCAUUCAUGUUCGAUUCGCAAACUAGUCUUAUA